AGCGCAUGCUAGUAGCAAGGGUCAAAUGCUAGAGCAAGAAAUCCUGAUUAGUCAGGAAAAGUACUUUCUGCAGUGGAAAAGGUAACAGCCUGUAACCGGGAUUUGGUUGAGGAGGAGCAGAAUGGAAUCACCAAGAAGACCGGAUGUUGUUUCUACAGGAAUUAUAGUACUUCCGACUGUCUUGAGAGACUGUGUGUGUGUCUGUGCAUGUGUUUUACUCUUUUGCUCAAGAGCAGGAGGGAGAUGCUUCAGAUGUGUUGUCCUUUCAUUCCGGAGUCCUCCUUUGAGGGAUGAAAGAUUUUGUCUGCGGUGCCCUGGGAGCUGUGUACCCCGCUGUUUGGUAAUAUCGGAAAUUAAUUCCUCCACCCGUCCCAGUUGUGCCUAAACAAUUCAAGGGCAGUGUUAGAUCCUCAAAUUGAGAAUUUACUGAAAGGCCUUUGUACCACCGCCAGUGAUAGCGUUUUUGUUAAGGAUAAUUCCAUUUAUCAUUACUGUGUCCUACCACAAACUGGUUUGUAUUACCCAAACAACAAAUUAUAUGUGACGCUCAAUCACAAGGGUUGUUACUCAUUAAUGGAAGUUGUUUUUUUUUCCUUCUUAAAGCCAGUGUUAAAGAAGUAGAAAGAAAACAGAUAAUUCUUUGAAGUGGAAGCAGAGGUCUCCACAAAGAAGAAUUUCAAGAAACAGAAGGCAGGACGGGAAUGGAGAAAGAGAUAGGGUGACAUCUGGAGAGAGCUGGGAGUAGACCUGCUGCUCCUCUGUGUUGAAAGGAGCCAGUUGAGGCGUUUCGGGCAUCUGGAUAAGAUGCCUCCUGGGUGCCUUCCUAUGGAGGUUUACCAGGCAAGUCCAACUUGGAAGAGACCUCAGGGUAUCUCCAGAAGCUGCUGGAGAGAUUAUAUAUCUUAUCUGGUUUGGGAAUGCCUUGGGCUUCCUCCAGGAGCAGCUGGAAAUUGCUGCUGGGGAGAAGGACAUCUGGAGUACCCUGCUUAGCCUACUGCCACUGCUAGACAAUUUUGGAUAAGCAGAAGAUAAUGGAUGAUUGAUGGCUGCAUAAUUAGCUAGCAACAGGUCUGUAAACUGAUUGGUUAACUUCAAAGAAAUGUGCUACUUUGUGGAAAUAAUUCAACAAUACAAUGUUACAUACACUAUCAGAGAAUUCCCUCUCUGUGAUUGACAAGAUCAAAAACCAAUGCUGAAUCUCACUGAACCUUAGGGCCCCACUCUGCACUUCUUUAAAGCAGUCAAGAUUGUCUAGUAAAAGUAAAGAGAGUUCCAGAAACACUUCUGAAAAUCCCUGUGAGUGAACAGCAAAGAACACCUACAUGUUCACUACUUGUUAUUUUUGUCAGAGUUGUUAUUUUAACAAUUAGUGGGUGGAGAGGCUUUACUCCUUUUGUUUGUACUUUUCAACAUUUGGAUUGUAGGGGGUAGUUACUUGAGGUAAUGCAUUUAUACAGGGUACUUUCAUUCAGGUGCACCACUGGGAAAGCAACAGUUUUUGACUGUAUUCUCUGUAGCACGUCCAUUACCACUGAAAUAUAAAGUUAGGCUGCAUAACUAAUGCUCCUCUAGCUGUUCCCAGAGAGCUGAUUUGAAUUAAAUUCUUGUGCCUUUGAUUCCACUAAAUCCCAAAUCACUUUGAUUCAAGCCCAGACUUUGACUUGGCCAGUCCAUCAGUUCCAGUACUCCAGAUUCCCUUUUCCUGGUCAAACAGUCUCUGCACAGCUUUGAAAUUUGCUUGGGGCCAUUGUCUUGUUAAACACACAAUUAAUCAGUUUUGCUUCAGAAUGUUCAUAGUUUUUAUGGACAGAGUUUCUAGGUGUAGCCAAGUGGCAGAGGCUUGCACUUCAGUAGUCUCAGAAUCUCAUCUCUGCUUUUCGCAAAUGAUGUGAGGUGAGUGUGAAGCGACAGGAAUGAGAAUCAGCACCUCCAAGUCUGAGGCCAUGGUUCUCAGCUGAAAAGGGUGAAGUGAAGAAAUAACAAGAUUGCGGAUACAAGUGACGGAAAGGAGCUUCCUUGAAAGGGUAGCUAGCCGCUUCCUUUGAGAUAGGGUAAGGAGUUCAAGAAGGGCUCCGAGUAGGGUCGCUACUCCUUCAUGCACCUCCUGGGUGAGGUGUUCUGGGCAUAUCCCACUGGACGGAGGACCCGGGCAGACCCAGGACAAGCUGGAGAGAUUAUAUCUCUUUGUUGCCCUGCGAAUGCUUCGAUGUUCCCCCAGAAAAGGUGGAAGAGGUGGCUAGAGAGAGGGAGGUCCCUAGCCACUUGGGCUUCUCUACUAAGGCUGACCCGGCCCCUGGUAAGUGGAAGAAGAUGGAUGGAUGGAGGGGUCGGAUGGGUGGUUCAGGAGGGAUUCCAACUUUUUGGUGGAUCCAAGAUGUUGUGGCAGACCUUCUUCACUAAUGUGUCCAUGCCGCUUCUAUAAUAACUAUACCAUAAAGGAAUCUUGCCCCUUUUUCACUGUCUUUGCAAUCCAUCUAACAUUCUCCAGCUUUUCUGUGGACAAACACAAUAUUACUGACCGAAGAGCUGAAAUUUGUACUUGUCUGUCCAAAGUACCUUUUUCCAGUUAUCUACAGCUCAGUGUUUGUGAUCAGCUUUCAUAUUCUGCCUCUUCCUUGGCGCAUUUUGUAAGUACCAGUCUCAGCAAUUGACUCCAAAGCAUGACCACACUGUGAGAACACUUUUAGUCUUGCCCAGAUUGUCUCAAAGAUCAUCCAUCAUCACAAAGUGCUUUAUUGCAGACUCUUUCCUUUUCAGUGAGUUCUCUACAUUUCACAUUUUUUGAACAGGAGUGAGGAAUUUUAGACGCAAUCCAUAUAUUUAUACCUACAGUUUUAGCCAGCACACUGGACUUCCCUGAGAAGUCAGAAGUGUAAUAAGUGUAAUUUUAAAGUCCUUUACGAUUUUUUUGUUUUUUGGUGUACAUUUGAAAAUUCAAAAAUCAGAAAUGAUGUACUUUAGCAUUAAAAAUAAUUUCAGUUAAAGAGCUUGAACAUACGGAUGGAUUAACCAUUAGAGAAACUGAUUCAGAAAUAGCAUGGGUAAUUACCAAAGUCUAAUUUAGCGCAGCUUACAGUGGGUGGUGGUCUAAUGAAUGCGUUAUGCACUAUAGUUAUACAUGGAUUUAAACUGAUGAACUGGGAAGUAUUCUUUGAUAAGGUCAUAGUCAUUACAUGUAUUGUUAUUUUAAAAAAAAAUUUAAAUCAGCUUUUAAAAUUUCCUAAUUUGAUCCAAAAUUUA